rnacentral:tRNA from 1 species
UGCCAGAUCGUCUAAUGGUAGGACCGCGGUUUUUGGUACCGCUAAUCUAGGUUCGAGUCCUAGUCUGGCAA